GUAACACUGUUGUUUUUUAUUGGUCGUCAUGAAAAAAACAUAAGGGGUAACACUGUUGUUUUUUUAUUGGUCGUCAUGAAAAAAAACAUAAGGGGUAACACUGUUGUUUUUUAUUGGUCGUCAUGAAAAAAAACAUAAGGGGGAUCGCUGUUGUCUUUGUCAAAUAAAAUAUAAGGGGUAAGACUGUUGUUUUUUAUUGGUCGUCAUGAAAAAAAACAUAAAGGGUAACACUGUUGUCUGUGUCAAAUAAAAUAUAAGGGGUAACACUUGUUUUUCUUUGGUCGUCAUGAAAUAACCACAAGGGGUAAAACUGUCGUUUUUUAUUGGUCGUCAUGAAAAAAAACAUAAGGGGGGUAACACGGUCGUUUUUUAUUGGUCGUCAUGAAAAAAAACAUAAGGGGUAACACUGUCGUUUUUUAUUGGUCGUCAUGAAUAAAACCAAAAGGGGUAACACUGUUGUUUUUUAUUGGUCAUCCUGAAAAAAUUAUAAGGGGUAACACUGUUGUUUUUUUUUGGUUGUCAUGAAAGAAAACAUAAGGGGUAACACUGUCGUUUUCUAUUGGUCGUCAUGAAAAAAAGCCUAAGGGGUAACACUGUUGUUUUAUAUUGGUCGUCAUGAAAAAGAACAUAAGGGGUAACACUGUUGUUUUUUAUUGGUCGUCAUGAAAAAAACAUACACUGUUGUUUUUUUAUUGGUCGUCAUGAAAAAAAUCAUAAGGGGUAACACUGUUGUUUUUAUUGGUCGUCAUGAAAAAAACAUAAGGGGUAACACUGUUGUCUUUGUCAAAUAAAAUAUAAGGGGUAAGACUGUGGUUUUUUAUUGGUCGUCAUGAAAAAAAACAUAAAGGGUAACACUGUUGUCUGUGUCAAAUAAAAUAUAAGGGGUAACACUUGUUUUUCUUUGGUCGUCAUGAAAAAAACACCACGGGUAAAGCUGUCGUUUUUUAUUGGUCGUCAUGAAAAAAAACAUAAGGGGUAACACUGUUGUUUUUUAUUGGUCGUCCUGAAAAAACAUAAGGGGGGUAGCACUGUUGUUUUUUAUUGGUCAUAUAUAACCAGAGACAUAUUUUA
ensembl:lncRNA